AUGAAGAGGAUAUUAUUAUUGAGCUAUUAUGAUCUCCCUUCCUAUUUGAAAACAUGCUUUUUAUAUCUAAGUAUCUUUCCUGAAGAUCAUCAAAUUAGCAGAGACCGGUUGACAAGGAGAUGGAUUUGUGAAGGUUUUAUCCAAGUAAAAGGUCAAACCAGCCCACUUGCAGAAAAUCAACCUAGUCUCCUUGAGCUAGGAGAUGCCUACUUCAACGAGUUAGUAAACAGGAACAUGAUCAUGCCGAUAAACAUACAUAGUGGUAGGGUUGGAGCUUGUUGUGUACAUGAUAUAAUGCUGGAUCUUAUAUGUGAAUUAUCAAGCGAAGAAAACUUUGUUACUGUAUUGGACUUUAUCAAGGGAGACACACCUUUGGAAAAGAAGUUCCGCAGGUUGUCCCUCCAAAAGGGCAUGACAGAUCCCACCACUACUCGGAUGGCUACCACAAGCAUGUCACAAGUGAGGUCUUUUACCGCUUUUAGUCCCUCUGUCAGUAAGAUUCCCUCUAUUUCUAGAUUUCAAGUUUUGCGUGUAUUGGAUCUGGAGGGUUGUGAUCUUCAAAAAAUCCCUGGCAUUGACCUUAGUCAUGUUGAGAAGUUGUUACAUCUGAGGUAUCUGGGGUUAAGGGGCACAAAGGUUGGCAAGCUCCCUAUGGAAAUAGGAAAGCUACGGUUUUUGCAGACACUAGACUUACAAUUGACCAAUUCAAAAGAAUUGCCGUCCAGUGUUGUUCAGCUGAGGCAUUUGAUGUGCCUAAUCCUUGAUUUUGAUAUGCCACUACCAAAAGGGUUCAGCAACAUGACAUGCCUUGAACAGCUGAUGGGGCACAAUAUGGGCUUUGUUUCUGAAGAAACUGCAAAAGAGCUGGGCCAUCUGAGCAGGUUAAGAGAGCUCGCCUUUAGAUUUGAUUCAGAUAUUGGCGAGGGAGUUGAUGAUGAUGAAGAUACUAAAGCACUGAUUGGAUCCCUAGCCAAGCUAUACAAACUCGAGAGCCUGGAGAUCUCCUCUCCUAAGUAUUGGUUUGACAAUGUCCUUAUGGAUUGGGUGCCGUCACAAAACCUACAAAGGCUUAGAUUGUACGGAAAAUUCAGGAGGUUGCCUACAUGGAUUUGUUCUUCGUCUCUACCUCUACUCUCCUACCUUGAUCUAAAUGCCAUGGAAGUGCGAUUCAGAGAUAUCCAGAUCCUUGGGAUGCUGCCGGCUCUCCGUUAUGUCACUCUCAUUUCUGUGCUCAGCAAAGGCAGAAACUUAGUGGAGAAGUUGGUGCUUAGUUUUGGUGCCUUCCCCAGUGCGAAAGUGUGCCUUUUCCACAAACUUAUACUGGUGCACCCUACCUUCCAACCAGGAGCCAUGCCAAUGGUUCAACGCCUUCGCUUCGGUCUCCGAGUGAAUGACAUCAUCAGUCCCGACUUCAAUUUGAGCAUACAGAACCUUCCUUCGCUACAGCAACUCAGAAUUGACCUUCUCGAUUAUGAAAUCAAACAUGAGGAUUAUUCUCAAGCCAUGGACGUGCUGAGGUGUGUGGCAGAAGGCCAUCCCAAGAAUCCCACCCUUCGUGCUGAUAAAUUCAUUUGA
rnacentral:rRNA from 1 species